rnacentral:lncRNA from 1 species
CGUCGGCUUGACUGGGCGAUGAGACACCCACUUACCUGGUUAAAUGUUAUUUCUGCAGGUGUCUGCAAGGACAUUUCUGGAGCAGGGUUUCUGAGUGCCGGGAAUUUGGAGGCAGGUUGUCUCGGCGGCCCUGGCUCACGGUCUCUGAUCAGGCUGCAGUCAAGUUGUAAGCCGGAGCAGCAGUCUUUGGAAGAUGCCAGAGGAUCCGUUUCCAAGCUUGCUCAGCACCGGCAGCAUUACUACCGUGACGGAGUGGACUCCACUGGCUUUGUGAAUCUGGGACCACACUUUCUGAUGCAACAACCUGGGCUUCUCAGUGUGGGGCUCUCUGGGUCUGGUUCUACUGGCUGCUCCGUCUAGGGACACAGGAAACUCCAAAGGGGUCCAGCACACCACCUGAUGCCCGGCCACGUUGCUUCAACGCCGUUCACCAAGAACACAAAGGCUUGUGGGGAAAUGUGGCUACUAAAUGCCAUGCAUUUUUGAUGUCCAACAGUUUUUCUUACAAGGUAUUGCAUUUUUAUACUUUUUAAACAAACAGCUUCAAAAUCUACCAAAACACUUUGGACGAUUUUUAAAUAGGUUGGAAAAUUUCAUUUGCAAGUUUUUUUCAGGGCACAGAUAUGAAAGUUUCUAUAAGUGGUGUGCUCACGUUAUUUCUGGAAACAAAAACAAGGAUGGAAAAGUUCCCCAUUUCACUCUCCCCAUAGGAUGAGUUUCUUGAAAAGCAGCUGUUUCUCAUGCAGUGUUAAAACAUCCCCUCACGUUGAAGACAGCUUUCGCGUGUUUCUGUUUGCAGAAACCCUGUCAGUUGCUUUUGAUGACUGGCCUUUGCACACAGAGUUCAGCCAAAGAAGUACCCGCCUUUUUAAAAAGAAACUCGCCCACUUCAUCUCCAGAAAGGCUUGUCUGAGCACGUCAGAUGCACAGGGACUCACAUGGAUGAUCACUCUUUAUAUCAUGCCAAAGAAUUGCAAAGAUUCUUCCAUGAUUGUUUGCUGCUGGCAAAACUUGGCAUUAGUCCUGGAAUCCAGGUGUGCUGGGGCCGGUGGAGGGAGAGAUCCACCUCCUGAGUGAAGAGAGGGAAGUCCAGAGGGCGUCUCUGGUUCGUUCGUUCGUCUUGGGGAAGCCUCAGCUGAACGGCCACCACGGUUUCUGCUGCACAUUAGCUGG